AGCACUUGUAUGGGUUUUUGUUGAACCAGUGGACAAAGACUUAACAAUAGGUGCAAGAACAAAUCCUCUUUUGCAACCCAGAACUCAUUGUUGUAUGAGUUUUUGGUACAUGUAAGAAGGAAUAUC
ensembl:snoRNA LOC120100461 small nucleolar RNA SNORA40